UACGGAGGGGGCUAGCGUUGUUCGGAAUUACUGGGCGUAAAGGGCGCGUAGGCGGCCACCGCAAGUCGACUGUGAAAUCUCCGGGCUUAACCCGGAAAGGUCAGCCGAUACUGCGGGGCUAGAGUGCAGAAGGGGCAACUGGAAUUCUCGGUGUAGCGGUGAAAUGCGUAGAUAUCGAGAGGAACACCUGCGGCGAAGGCGGGUUGCUGGGCUGACACUGACGCUGAGGCGCGAAAGCGUGGGUAGCAAACAGG
rnacentral:rRNA from 1 species